AACGAACGCUGGCGGCAGGCUUAACACAUGCAAGUCGAACGCCGUAGCAAUACGGAGUGGCAGACGGGUGAGUAACACGUGGGAACGUGCCCAAAGGUACGGAACAACUCCGGGAAACUGGAGCUAAUACCGUAUGUGCCCGAAAGGGGAAAGAUUUAUCGCCUUUGGAUCGGCCCGCGUCUGAUUAGCUAGUUGGUGAGGUAAUGGCUCACCAAGGCGACGAUCAGUAGCUGGUCUGAGAGGAUGGCCAGCCACACUGGGACUGAGACACGGCCCAGACUCCUACGGGAGGCAGCAGUGGGGAAUAUUGGGCAAUGGGCGCAAGCCUGACCCAGCCAUGCCGCGUGAGUGAUGAAGGCCUUAGGGUUGUAAAGCUCUUUCGCCGAGGACGAUAAUGACGGUACUCGGAUAAGAAGCCCCGGCUAACUUCGUGCCAGCAGCCGCAGUAACAC
rnacentral:rRNA from 1 species